rnacentral:lncRNA from 1 species
GAGCGUAGCUGUCGUGCCCAAGUUUAGCCUGAUUAAUGCUCCGGGUCAGACCCCAGCCACUGCCCCAACGGCCGCUGCUCUUCCUGCCCUGUGCGAAACAAAUGAUGUGAAGAGCAGCAGCUCUUCUGAAGGAAUCCAACCAGCAGCUCCAGAGUGUGGAAAGACUUCCCCAGAGCAGGAAAACGAGUCAGCCAAACCUUCAACAAACUUGGAGGAGAUUAGAGCAGAGAUCAGAGCCGAGAUCGCAGCAAAGAUUGAAGAGGAAGCGUACCAAAGAGGGUGAGGCUUUGUCUCCAGCUCCUUCAUGUGCUUAUUAAUCCAAAAUAUUUCAUUUGAGUCUUGAUAAUGAAAGUUUGAUGUAUGAUCUUGAAACCAUUUGAAGCAGA